rnacentral:lncRNA from 1 species
GAAGCUCACACAUGGCUGGCCGCAUGCUUCAAUUGCAUGCGCGGAGACACCUCGUGCUUGGUCGAUCCACCUCGUGCUUGGUAGAUCCACCUCGUGCUUCUACAUGUCAGGCUGCAUGUGCUUCUUCCAUGUACGAAAACACCUCGAGCUUCUGGAGACACUCAGCUUGUUAGAUGAUUUCAGUCCUUCCGGCAAUUUUCUUAUCCGCGAUCAAUCCCAAUAUUUUUCUACGCCCAUUCUUAUGUUCUGAAUAUCUUUAAUAAACUACAGACUCCAUUAUAAUCUUGACGGUAAUA